UACGUAGGGUGCGAGCGUUAAUCGGAAUUACUGGGCGUAAAGCGUGCGCAGGCGGUUCGUUAAGACAGGUGUGAAAUCCCCGGGCUCAACCUGGGAAUGGCGCUUGUGACUGGCGGGCUGGAGUACGGCAGAGGGAGGUGGAAUUCCACGUGUAGCAGUGAAAUGCGUAGAGAUGUGGAGGAACACCGAUGGCGAAGGCAGCCUCCUGGGCCAGUACUGACGCUCAUGCACGAAAGCGUGGGGAGCAAACAGG
rnacentral:rRNA from 1 species